UGAGGGAAAGGCGAAAAGAACCCCGGGAGGGGAGUGAAAUAGAUCCUGAAACCGUGUGCAUACAAACAGUCGGAGCCUCUUUAUGGGGUGACGGCGUACCUUUUGUAUAAUGGGUCAUCGACUUGGUCUCACGAGCAAGCUUAAGCCGUUAGGUGUAGGCGCAGCGAAAGCGAGUCUUAAUAGGGCGUCGAGUUCGUGGGAUCAGACCCGAAACCGAGUGA
rnacentral:rRNA from 1 species